UCUAAGGCCACACUACUCUGAACAUUCCCAAUCUUGUCUGAUCUCAGAAGCUAAGCAGGGUCGGCCUGGCUAGUACUUGGAUGGGAGGAGUGGGAAUUAUUUUUAAAA
rnacentral:rRNA from 1 species